GACCUCGUCCGCGGGGAGACAACCCGCCAAAUUUAAGCAUAUUAAUAAGCGGAGGAAAAGAAACCAACCGGGAUUCCCCGAGUAAGGGCGACUGAAAGGGGACCAGCCCAGCGCAUAACCUCGCGGUCCUUUACGGCCGUCGAGGGGUGUUGCGUUUCGGUGGAUCCGUACCGCUCGAGCUGCUCACCGCCUAAGUCAUUGCUUGAAUGCAGCCCCGAGGAGGGUGGUAGGCCCGUGUGGCGGCGCCUGUAAAAAGGUUUUAGGCAGCUUGGGCGGAGGGGUCUUUACCGUAGAGUCGGGUUGCUUAGUACUGCAGCCCUAAGUAGGUGGUAAACUCCAUCUAAGGCUAAAUA
rnacentral:rRNA from 1 species